rnacentral:rRNA from 13 species
AGUAUUUUCAGGAAAUAGCUUAGAAUAGUACCGUACUGUAAACCGACACAGGUGAACAAAUUUAGUAAAUUAAGGUGCUUGAGUUAAUUGUAUUGAAGGAACUCGGCAAAAUGACUCCGUAACUUCGGGAUAAGGAGUAGCUUUUAAGGUUUUAACCUAAAAAGCUGUCACAAAAUCGAGGACAGCGACUGUUUAAUAAAAACACAGGUCUCUGCAAAUUUGAAAAAAGAAGUAUAGAGACUGACGCCUGCCCGGUGCUGCAAGCUUAAUAGAAAAAGUCUUGGCUUUAACUUUAACCCCCAGUAAACGGCGGCUGUAACUCUGACGGUCCAAAGGUAGCGAAAUUCCUUGGCAUUUAAUUGGUGUCCCGCAUGAAUGGCGUAACGACUGUCCUACUGUCUCCAAUGCAAUCUCAGUGAAAUUGAAAUGUCUGUGAAGAUGCAGACUACUCGCGGCUAGACGGAAAGACCCUGUGCACCUUUACUAUAGUUAUAAAUUGUAAUAAAAUUUUUUCUGUGUAGUAUAUGUGGUAAGUUUUUACAAGAUCAUAACGCAAGUUAUUUGUCUAAACAUAGAUGAAAUACCACUCUUAAAAACUUUUGUUACUCAUAGCAUCGAAACAGUUUAUAAUGGGUAGUUUGACUGGGGCGGUCGCCUCCUAAAAAGUAACGGAGGCGUACGAGGGUAAGCUCAAAUUGAAUAAAAUCAAUUGAAGAGCAUAAUAGUACAUUGUUUGCUUGACUGAAAGAUUGACAGAUCGAACAGAGAUGAAAAUCGGUUAUAGUGAUCCGAUGACUCUGUGUGGAAAAGGUCAUCGCUCAACGGAUAAAAAGUACGCCAGGGAUAACAGGCUAAUCAUUCUUUAGAGACCCUAUCGAUGGAGUGGUUUGGCACCUCGAUGUUGGAUUAUCGCAUCCUGGAGCUGUAAGUGGUUCCAAGGGUUUGGCUGUUCGCCAAGAAAGGCGGUACAUGAUCUGAGUUUAGAACGUUGUAAAACAGUUUGGUCCCUAUCUACCGUGAGUGUUAAAAAUUGAAAGGAGUAAACCUUAGUACGAGAGGACCGGGAAAAGUAAAUCUCUGGUGAAUCGAUUGUUAUUCUAAUAGCAUUGUCGAGUAGCUACAUUUGUAAUAGAUAAUUGUUGAAAGCAUCUAAACAAGAAACUAACCUUGAAAAAAAUUUUUAAAAAGCCGUAAAAGAUUAUUACGUAAUAGGUUUAAUGUGUAAGAAUUGUAAAGUUUUUAGCUAAU